UAGGUUAGAAGAUCCGAGUCUCUUUUCUCUCUAGUGGGGUCUCUUCUUUCUCUGGUAUGACAUCUUUGUGCUUGAGCAGCGAUGGGCGGAGAUCAGUAAAAUUUUUUAUUUAUUUAUUAUUCCACUGUGCAUAGUUUUCCCGAUAGAGAUUUCGCCCAUGAUAUUACAUUUUAUUUUGGAAGGAUAAUUUGUAUAAAUAUUCUCUAUGCAGAGUGCAUUGCAUUCUUUUUAUAAGAUUAUAUGCUGACCAGUAACUUCAGGAUGGGGAUUAUGGCAAUCCUUGUAGUAAUACUUCAAUAAUAUAUUGAAGAGUUCAGGAUUCAACAAGAGAGGUCAUCAUGGGCUCAUGAUUUAACAGGGACCACCUGAUCCGCAUUACAUGGACCAUUCUGCAGUACACACAAAUAGUGCUUCACUGGUUAACCCCGAGCUCUACCGGAUUCUACCUCAUAUCAGGAACCAGUUUAACUGAUGUUGUUGUCAAGGAGCUGUUGAAGUUCAUAGAAAUUCCUAUUGGUAUAAAAUUAAACAACAGAUCUAAUAUUUUUCUUUUUUGUGGUGCAGUCCCAAGUCCUCACAGAAUUUUCUCUACUUGGAAUUGUUAUAAGAUGUUAGAAUCAUGGAGGAACCAUAUUUUCUUUGGCCAAAAUUAUCUGGAAGCUGGUCGCCUUGGAGAAGGAUUUUUUUUUCUUUUUCUUUUAUUGCUUUUCAAACAAUGUCCUAACUGCUGCAAAUCUGAAAAAGAGAAGCAUGCCUUUCCUUGUGGUUUGUUUUCUCUGUAAUUUGACUGAUAAAAGUAUGUACUUGGGAGUUUUUUUUUCGCUGUCAAACACAAUAUUAAUGAA